UACGGAGGGUGCGAGCGUUGUCCGGAAUUACUGGGCGUAAAGGGCGCGUAGGCGGCCUGUUAAGUCGGACGUGAAAUCCCUCGGCUCAACCGGGGAACUGCGUCCGAUACUGGCGGGCUUGAAUUCGGGAGAGGGAUGUGGAAUUCCAGGUGUAGCGGUGAAAUGCGUAGAUAUCUGGAGGAACACCGGUGGCGAAGGCGGCAUCCUGGACCGACAUUGACGCUGAGGCGCGAAAGCCAGGGGAGCAAACGGG
rnacentral:rRNA from 1 species